UGACGCCUGCGUGCAAGUAAAAGUCGCCCCAGUGCGUGAAAUGAGUCCGGUAGGGCAUAGAGUUGGAGAGGCUAGAGUGAGUUUGCUUAUUUUGUGCAGUUUCUUUUCAUCUUGAAGGUUCCUUUGAUGAGAAAACCAUGGCAUGAAGUUAAAGAAUAUCACCAGGGAGCUGUUGGAGUCACGGGCCAUCUGAUGGACAAAGCGCCGGCACCUGUCUGGCAGCUGACUGUGGUCAAGAGGCAUCGGGUGCCCGUCAGAGGCAUUGUUG